UGCAACCUACGGGGCGCAGCAGUGGGGAAUAUUGCACAAUGGGGGAAACCCUGAUGCAGCAACGCCGCGUGAGUGAAGAAGUAUUUCGGUAUGUAAAGCUCUAUCAGCAGGGAAGAAAAUGACGGUACCUGAGUAAGAAGCCCCGGCUAACUACGUGCCAGCAGCCGCGGUAAUACGUAGGGGGCAAGCGUUAUCCGGAUUUACUGGGUGUAAAGGGAGCGUAGACGGCAGCGCAAGUCUGGAGUGA
rnacentral:rRNA from 1 species